rnacentral:rRNA from 1 species
GUCGUGGGGCAGCGGGGGUGAAGGCUUGCCUUCACCUGCCGGCGACCGGCGCACGGGUGARUAACACGUAUGCAACCUGGCCGUGACAGGAGGAUAACUGGUAGAAAUGCCGCCUAAWACUCCAUAAHACUUUGCGGGGACAUCCCCGUGAGGUCAAAGGMAGCGAUUCCGGUCACGAUGGGCAUGCSGCGCAUUARCUAGUCGAGCGGGGUAACGGCCCACCGAGGCGACGAUGCGUAGGGGUUCUSAVAGGAAGGUCCCCCACAUUGGAACUGAGACACGGUCCAAACUCCUACGGGAGGCAGCAGUGAGGAAUAUUGGUCAAUGGGCGARAGCUGAAACCAGCCAAGUCGCGUGAGGGAAUAAGGCCCUAUGGGUCGUAAACCUCUUUUGCCGGGGAGCAAGADCAGGGACGUGUCCCUGAUUGGAGAGUACCCGGAGAAAAAGCAUCGGCUAACUCCGUGCCAGCAGCCGCGGUAAUACGGAGGAUGCGAGCVUUAUCCGGAUUUAYUGGGUUUAAAGGGUGCGUAGGCGGGCUCUUAAGUCAGCGGUAAAAUUGCGGUGCUCAACGCCGUAGAGCCGUUGAAACUGGGAGCCUUGAGUGAGCGAGAAGUAGGCGGAAUGCGCAGUGUAGMGGUGAAAUGCAUAGAUAUYGCGCAGAACUCCAAUUDSCRKAGGCAGCGUACUGGGCGUCUGACUGAMGCUGAGGCACGAAAGCGUGGGGAUCGAACAGGCUUAGAUACCCUGGUAGUCCACGCAGUAAACGAUGAAUGCCGGCUGUUUGGGWUAAWUGAGUCYUGAGCGGCGAAGCGAAAGCGAUAAGCAUUCCACCUGGGGAGUACGCCGGCAACGGUGAAACUCAAAGGAAUUGACGGGGGCCCGCACAAGCGGAGGAACAUGUGGUUUAAUUCGHUGAUACGCGAGGARCCUUACCCGGGYUCAAACGGCGGGGGACAGGAGCAGAGACGCUCCCUCUACGGGCCACCGCCGAGGUGCUGCAUGGUUGUCGUCAGCUCGUGCCGUGAGGUGUCGGCUUAAGUGCCAUBACGAGCGCAACCCCUGCCGACAGUUGCUCACGGGYAAAGCCGAGGACUCUSUCGGGACUGCCGGYGCAAGCCGAGAGGAAGGCGGGGAUGACGUCAAAUCAGCACGGCCCUUACGUCCGGGGCGACACACGUGUKACAAUGGGAGGRUACAGAGGGAAGCCAGGUGGCGACACCGAGCGGAAGCCCGAAAACYUUUYUCAGUUCGGDUCGGAGUCUGCAACCCGACUCCGUGAAGCURGAUUCGCUWGUAAUCGCGCAUCAGCCAUGGCGCGGUGAAUACGUCCCCGGGCCUUGUACACACCGCCCGACAAGCCUWGGGGAGCCGAGGGCAGCUUGGAAAGUGSGUCGCCGCGAAGGCGCG